UACGUAGGGUGCGAGCGUUGUCCGGAAUUAUUGGGCGUAAAGAGCUCGUAGGCGGUCUGUCGCGUUGUUCGUGAAAACUCACAGCUUAACCCUGGGCCUGCAUUCGAUACGGGCAGACUAGAGUUCGGUAGGGGAGACUGGAAUUCCUGGUGUAGCGGUGAAAUGCGUAGAUAUCGGGAGGAACACCAGUGGCGAAGGGCGGCUUCCUGGCCCUGUUCUUGACGCUGAGGCGCGAAAGCUAGGGGAGCAAACGGG
rnacentral:rRNA from 1 species